rnacentral:rRNA from 1 species
GACGAACGCUGGCGGUGUGCUUAACACAUGCAAGUCGAACGGUAAGGCCCUUUCGGGGGUACACGAGUGGCGAACGGGUGAGUAACACGUGAGUAACCUGCCCUCAUCUCUGGGAUAACAGUCGGAAACGGUUGCUAAUACUGGAUAUGAGCCUGCAAGGCAUCUUGUGGGUUGGAAAGAUUUUUUGGUUGGGGGUGGACUCGCGGCCUAUCAGCUUGUUGGUGAGGUAGUGGCUCACCAAGGCUUCGACGGGUAGCCGGCCUGAAAGGGCGACCGGCCACAUUGGGACUGAGAUACGGCCCAAACUCCUACGGGAGGCAGCAGUGGGGAAUAUUGCACAAUGGACGGAAGUCGGAUGCAGCAACGCCGCGUGCGGGAUGACGGCCUUCGGGUUGUAAACCGCUUUCAAUUGUGACGAAGCUUUUUGUGACGGUAGCAGUAGAAGAAGCACCGGCUAACUACGUG